AUCCUCUCAGGGUCGCACCUGGAGAGUUUCCAGUACUCUACCAGUCUCGUCUAUGGGAGGGAGAGUUAAGCAGAGGCAUACCCAUUAUGUUCCUAGCUUGGGCAGUGGCUAGAGAGUGGAAGGCGAUCUGCUACAAGU